UGGAAUCUGAACAGCACAGGGAGUGAUAAGGUAAAGGCACCAACAGAUAAAGGCGAACUUAAGGGUAUUGAGGAAGGAAAAUGGAAGGGAAGUUGUCCCGCUCUGCAAAGAAGCUAGCGUCGUCUCCUAUUCAGGAACUGUCAUUCCUUGCUCAGAGCUGCAACGCCGUCAAUCUCGCCGAGGGCUUCCCCGACUUUCCUGCCCCUUCCCAUAUAAAAAAUGCCGCCAUUUCUGCCAUUGCUUCUGACUUAAACCAGUACAGGCAUGUGCAAGGAAUAUGUGAUCUCCUGGCAAAGAUAGUGAAGGAAAUGCAUGGUUUAGACAUCAACCCUCUUACAGAUGUAGCUAUUUGCUGUGGUCAAACUGAGGCCUUCGCUGCAGCAAUUUUCGCAAUAAUUGACCCGGGUGACGAGGUCAUUGUGUUCGACCCUUCUUAUGAAACUUAUGAAGCUUGCAUUCUUUUUGCCGGGGGAAUCCCAGUACACGUGCCACUUGACCCCCCUCAAUGGACCCUGGAUCUAACCAACUUCCUGAACUCAUUUACUGAAAGAACAAAAGCCAUCGUGUUGAACAGUCCUCACAAUCCAACUGGCAAAGUUUUCACAAAAGGCGAACUUGAGGCUAUUGCUGGAGCAUGCUGCAGCCGAAAUUGUCUGGCUAUAACAGAUGAAGUAUAUGAGCAUAUGACUUAUGACGAUGCAAAGCACAUUUCCCUUGCCUCAUUUUCAGGGAUGCAAGAACGGACUGUUAUAACUUCUUCUUUAUCUAAAACAUAUAGUGUCACAGGUUGGAGGGUUGGAUGGGCAAUCGCCCCACCAUUCAUUGCAUCUGCAAUAAGAAAUAUUCAUGUCAGAAUCACGGAUUCUGCUCCUGCACCUUUUCAGGAAGCUGCUCUGACUGCUUUGAGGAGCCGCCCUGAGUACUUUGAAUCAAUGAGAAAAGAUUAUGGAUCAAAAAGAGAUUAUAUUAUCAAUUUGCUUGCUCGAGUUGGUUUAAAGGUACAGUUUAAACCUCAGGGUGGCUUCUUUUUAUUUGCUGAGCUUCCUGACGAUUAUCCCCAUUCAGAUGUAGAAUUUGUUAAGAAACUAAUAGUAGAAGCCGGGGUGGUGGCUGUACCAGGACAAGGAUUUUUUCAUCCCAAUUCAGAAGCUUCUAAUGAAGAAUAUUACUGCCAGAAGAGAUACGUCAGGUUUGCUUUUUGUAAGAGCAAUGCCACUUUAGCCGUGGUUGCCGAAAGAUUUGGUAAGAUUUUAGACGCUGGGGGACUUAGUGUGCUUCAUUGAAUUGGCUGAAGAGAUAUUUGAUGAUAGGAUGGAAGAAGUCAAAUGGAGGGGAUGAGUGUGUGACUAUAACUUCGGAGUGAUCAAGCUUCCUCCUUCAAUUCGUCAGAAAAAUGGCAAGUGAGAAAGGUAUUUUCGAAUUCUCGGACACCGUAGGUUGGAGCAUCCAAGACGCUGCUGCACCACAAUCAAGAAGCAACAGAUACUAUGAGAAAGGCCACUUGGGAAGAGCGCUAGCAUACAGGGCGGUUUAUGGUUGUGGCGGAGGAAGCAGCAGAAACGUGCGAGGCGGUGAUGCCGCCAGAAUGUCACCAAGCAGGCUCAGCAAGGUCUUCACGGCUUCCGAUCCACAACACAACUAGCAAAAAUGUUAACUUCUACUUCACACCCACCAUAUUUAGCAUCCUGCUAUGCUUUUUCCAACUGCCUCUUGAAGUAAUUCUCCUUUUGUGUUAUGCACAUAUAUAUAUAUUUAUAUACAGAACUCUCUGUUGGCGUGUAUGCGUGUGAUAUAGAAGUGUACUUGUAAGAUUAAACCACUUGUAUAGUUAGCGUCUUUGUUGGUCACAUGCUUAUCAUUAAUAUUUACACUUGGGCGCAUUUUGUCCAAAUCUAGGGUACCUUCUCGCUUUUCUUUUGUAACGAGACGGAGGGUUUCACGUAAAAUUCAGGAGCUGAAUGCCUGAAACCUUGGCAGCAACGAAAAAGAAAAAUUCAAAUCUUGAGCUCAGGGCUGCGACAGUGAAGGAAUUGGUUAACGGAGUUGCUGGGUUCUCAACAUAGAUGGGCCUUGUAAAUUUUUAGCUGGUGAUGCUUCAUGAGAUUUUGCCUUGGACCCAGCAACGUUAUCCUUGAUCCAUUGACCAACGCAACACCCGACAACAGACAAGUGAAGAACUACUGAACUAGGACGACAAGUCUUUGCCAAUUUGUUUGUUUGAAGAAAGACGGUAGACUUGAAAGUAAAGGUGAAAAUAAGUUAGAUCAGGUUAAAUUUUAGCCAAAUAAAUUUAAAGCAUGA